GGGAUAAGACGUUUCUAUAAGUUUGAAUAAAAUACUUUGGCCUGCAAGGCAGUAACGAGAAUCGGUCAGGUUUUAUAUCACAAGUUUUUUGAAGAAUUUUUUUGUUCCAUAAUAGUGUUGAAUAUCACAAGAAGACAAUGCUCUCAACGACAAGGACAGGCGCGUAUGUUGAUCAGACUACUCAUCAAGUGUUAUUAAAUGGAUUUUGUCACAUUAAAAAAUACAAGGAAGAAACAGUGAAGAAAAUAAUAGCUACCAUCUGUGCCAUGCUGAAUGGCAGUGGGGGAAAAGUUGUGAUGAAUAUUGAUGUUUAUAACAAUGAUAUCUCUGCGUCCCAAAGGUCAUCGGUGCUUCGUAUAGUCGAACAACAUUUGAUGACUAUCAUCGGAACAAAUAUAACCGAAUAUGUUAAUUUUGAAGAAGAUAAAAAAACCGUAACCAUUUUCGUCGGAAAAGCUGAUUCGUUAAUCACAAAUGAAUAUCAUCUAUAUUUGCCCAGUCUAACACAAGUUUUCCAAGUGCCUCCAUCGCAACCACAAGAAAAAGUCAGAGACGACAUUGUCAACAGAAAACCUGUGAGUAUCCAUGAACCAGUUCAACUUGAAUCACACAUGAAAAUGUUUUUUAAAGGUGAAAAUUGUGGUCUUUCGGAGACAAAAACUGUUCAGCUUAAGAAGGUAAAAGCAGAUGCAUCAAAUCGUACGAGAUUAGCUGAUCGUAUGACUUGUAAAGGUAAUAAAUUUAGUUGCUAUGUUUCUGCUUUUGCUAAUUAUAACGGAGGUCACAUCUACUUCGGUAUUGAUGAUGAUGGGAUUGUUUCGGGAGAGUUCGUUCCAAAUGAAGUGGACCAAAUCGAAAUAACAAAGAAAGUUGAAAAAUCCAUCAACAAAAUGAUUUGGCCUCAGUAUCCCAAACCUCCCAAACGGAAGGUACACUGGGAAAUUUUCUUUGAGCCAGUGCUUGACGAAAACUCCACGCCUAUCCCAUCAACAUUUGUGAUCGUGAUCUAUAUUGCUGCUUGUCUGGGUGGUGUGUUCACUGAGAAACCAGAAUGUUAUGAAAUGGUGGAGGGGAAAGUUGUGAAGAUGUCGUACACCACUUGGAUGAAGAGAAUGCAGCCUAUCGAAUUAUUUCAUCUACCCAUAACUCAUUCGACCGUCAAACGAAACACGAAGGAUUCAUCUAGGAUUCAAAGGAUUUGCAGCUGCGCAGAUGAACUAUUAGUAGCAACAAUCAAUAACGGAAAAUCCAUCGAGACCAUUUCAAAGAAACUGGUGAAGAAAAAUCCUGAUCUGGUUGAAUUGCGAUUGCUAAUUUUGGCGAAGAAGGUGAUGGCGAGUUAUCGUUCAUUUUCUUUUAAAGUUGCAAGAGACUUGUUAGAAGAAUACGAAAAGUCUUUAAGGACGGCAACCGAUCGCGAACUCUCGAUGUUUGAUGCCAUACAUAUAUAUUUAGAAACUGCGAUAUGUUUUGCUCAAAGAGAUGUUGAAGCUGCAAACAGUAUCUUGCCCAAGGCUUUAGUUCAAGCAAAAGCUAUAAAACCCGGUCGAAUCUCGGCUGCCUUAUAUUUGCUUGUUGCAAUGAAUUAUCUUCAACUGAAAGGCGAUGAUGACAAUUCUCCGGUUAUAUUUUCAACUCUAGCACUUGAGGAUUUGAAACUUGUCCAGGAUUUACCCAAAAUACGAGCGGACAUGGAGCAAAAAGCUCACAUUUUAUUAGCUUUGUUUUACCUGGGCUGCAACAGAUUUGGAGUGCCAAUCAAGAAAGUCCUAGACCGAAAGUGCUUUGAAAAAGCUGAUUCCAGCAUAAUGGCGGUGCAUGAAUCGAUCAACGACGGAAAUCUAAUGAAUCCAUAUCGCGAGCUUCAAUUUAGCUUGGUGCUGUCAAUACAAUUUUAUCGAAAGUCCCAACUCCAACCCGACAGAAAAAAGUCAUUCCUGAAAGCAGCCUUCGAAACUGCCAAGAAAGCUGAAACAUCUGCGAUUGCCUGCAAUUUCCAGGAUAUGGUGAACUGGUCUAAGGAUUGUAUGGCUUUAUUCACUGAGUGCUUAGUACGCACAAAUAUACAAGCGCCCUGCUCGUAACUGCUGAUGAACACAUUCCAAUCACAUACGUUUAACGUUUUCUACUUCUGAAGAUGCAACUUCGUCUACAGUUAAACCGUUUUCAACAAAUUAAUGUUUUUUUCGAUUGGGAAAAAUUCAUGAUUAAUAUCGAUCCAGAGAUAGUCAGUAGACUUUUUUCUAUGACAUGUAUUCAAGUUGUGAAACAAUUAACUGAUACAUCCCACCGGGCACACGACGUUGUUUCAACGUUGAAAUUUGGUAGAAAAAAGGUUGCGACGCCGACAACCUAAUAUCUACGUUGCUCUGACGUUGUUUUAAAAACAUUGGUUCAACAGCAGCUAACAGACGUUGAAUCAACGUUCAUUCAUGGUUAAAUGAACGAUGUCGAUUUGUGAAGUAAUCUCAACGUUGUUUCAAUGUUGAUUCAACGUUGAAUUAUGGUUGACGAGAUUGGCAACCUAAUUUCAACGUUGUUUCAACGUCGAAACAGUAACGUCGAUCCAAUUUGCAUUAUCAAUCCUUUUUCAACGUCUAUCCAACGUCUGGAAAGUCAUUUCCAACGUUAAUUCAACGUUGAAUAAACGUCAUUUUUCCCGCUGGGAAGCGCCCUGCUCGUAACUGUUGAUGAACACAUUCAAAUCACAUACGUUUAACGUUUUCUACUUCUGAAGGUGCAACUUCGUCUACAGUUAAACUGUUUUCAACAAAUGUUUUUUCGAUUGGGAAAAAUUCAUGAUUAAUAUCGAUCCAGAAAUACUCAGUAAAGUUUUUUCUAUGACAUGUGUUCAAGUUGUGAAACAAUUAACUGAUACAUCCUUUUCAAUUUUCAGAAAAUGGAGUUACACUCCGAAACGUACAGUAAUUAUUAAAAUAAUUUUUUACUAAGCCUAUAUCAGUAUAUAUAUGGUCUAAUUACCAUGCAAGCAUGCACGUAGAUAUACAUUUACAUUUUGCUGGCAGGCAAAUUCCGAUCACACAAUAAAUUCUUUAAAAUAAUAUAUAAAAUUGAUAAAGCAAAAAAACUGAAAUACAUGCCACAUGGAAUUUCGUAUCAUUUUUUCAUUCCAGUACAGUAUAAGUAUCAAUACAUUUGAGUUUAUUUGAGGUUGACCAACUUGACCGCCCCCCGUCAGAUUCGAAAUACUCUGAACUUUAUGUAAAUUACAUGAAAUUUAGUAAACAACAUUAUAUAAUAACUACAGGCUAUCCUGCACGAGGAAUUAAAAUGCUCUCGCGGGAUUUUCGCGGGAUUCUCAAAAUGUCAUUGUUUCACUGUAGUUAUUUUAUAAAACAAUUACCAAAUGGUUUCCAAGCAGGAUAGCGUGAUCCAUGCAUGCACUUGGGAUGUUGCUCGACUUUCGGAAAGCGUAAAAAUACACUCGUCUGCGGCUCGAGUACUUUUACGCUUUCCGAAAGUCUCGCAACAUCCCUCGUGCAUGGAUCACACAAUCCUGCACGGAAAACCAUUCGGUAUUCCUUUAGUCUAUCAUCUUUCAAUCUUGAUAGUCUAACUAAUCAGAAAUGUCUUGAGGCUGCAUGUAGAACAAGGCAGAACCGAAUUGAAAAAUUCUUAUUGCCACAGUGGAGUUUUGUUAGAAUAUAGUAAGCCUACAGGUAUACAUAUUUUUCACACUUUAUAACAAUGAAAAUAUAUACGUUUGUAUUUUAUGUAGUACGAGUUAUAAUCUACCCGUAUUGUACAUAGCAGAAAAUUUAAAACAUAUGUGUAAAAAUUAUGAUCAGGUAUAUUAUGCAAAUUCAGCAAUUAAAAUAUUUCAGUCUGCAUGUGAAACACCAUUGUACUUUGUGUGAAUGAUAUUUACAUAUAGUUAUUGAGAGGUAAUCACACUGCAA